rnacentral:rRNA from 1 species
UACGAAGGGUGCAAGCGUUAAUCGGAAUUACUGGGCGUAAAGGGUGCGUAGGCGGUUCGUUAAGUCUGUUGUGAAAUCCCCGGGCUCAACCUGGGAAUGGCAAUGGAUACUGGCGAGCUAGAGUGUGAUAGAGGAUGGUGGAAUUCCCGGUGUAGCGGUGAAAUUCGUAGAUAUUGGGAAGAACACCAGUGGCGAAGGCGGCUAUCUGGACCGGUACUGACGCUGAGGCGCGAAAGCGUGGGGAGCAAACAGG